GUCUUUUUGUAUUUAAUAUAAAGUCUAACCUGCCCCUUGAAUAAUUUUAAAAGGCUGCGGUAUUUUGACCGUACAAAGGUAGCAUAGUCAUUAGUUUUUUAAUUGAAAACUUGUAUGAAUGGUUGAAUGAAAAAUUAACUUUUUUGAAAAAAAAAUUGAAUUUUACUUUUUAAUAAAAAGGUUAAAAUUUAUUUAAAAGACGAGAAGACCCUAUAGAGUUUUAUAAUUUUUAUUAUAGUUUUUAAUAAGUUUAUUUAAAAUUUUAUUAUAACAGUUAUUUUAUUGGGGUGAUAGUAAAAUUUAAUUAACUUUUAUUUUUUAAUUACAUUGAUAUAUGAUUUGUUGAUCCAUUAUUAUUGAUUAAAAAUUUAAAUUACCUUAGGGAUAACAGCGUAAUUUUUUUUUUAAGUUCUUAUUAAUAAAAAAUUUUGCGACCUCGAUGUUGGAUUAAGAUUUAAUUUUAGGUGCAGCAGUUUAAAAUUUAAGUCUGUUCGACUUUUAAAUUCUU
rnacentral:rRNA from 1 species